rfam:Schistosoma margrebowiei strain Zambia genome assembly, scaffold: SMRZ_contig0000027
GUCCAACUGACGAGUCUUACAUCGGACAAAACGCGUGUUCUGGAU